UAAAGGAAUCGUAGGUGGUUGAUCGCGUCGGAAGUGUAAUCAUGGGGCUUAACCCUGAGCGAGCCUUCGAUACGGGUUGACUUGAGGAAGGUAGGGGAGAAUGGAAUUCCUGCUGGAGCGGUGGAAUGCGCAGAUAUCAGGAGGAACACCAGUGGCGAAGGCGGUUCUCUGUGCCUUUCCUGACGCUGAGGAGCGAAAGCGUGGGGAGCGAACAGGCUUAGAUACCCUGGUAGUUCACGCUGUAAGCGGUGGGUGCUAGGUGUGGGGUCCAUUCCACGGGUUCCGUGCCGUAGCUAACGCUUUAAGUACCCCGCCUGGGGAGUACGGCCGCAAGGCUAAAACUCAAAGGAAUUGACGGGGCCCCGCACCACCGGCGGAGCAUGCGGAUUAAUUCGAUGCAACGCGUAGAACCUCACCUGGGUUUGACAUGGAUCGGGAGUGCUCAGAGAAGGGUGUGCCUCUUUUGGGGUCGGUUCACAGGUGGUGCAUGGCGGUCGUCAGCUCGUGUCGUGAGAUGUUGGGUUAAGUCCCGCAACGAGCGCAACCCUUGUUCACUGUUGCCAGCACGUUAUGGUGGGGACUCAGUGGAGACCGCCGGGGUCAACUCGGAGGAAGGUGGGGAUGACGUCAAGUCAUCAUGCCCCUUAUGUCCAGGGCUUCACGCAUGCUACAAUGGCUGGUACAGAGAGUGGCGAGCCUGUGAGGGUGAACGAAUUUUGGAAAACCGGUCUCAGUUCGGAUUGGGGUCUGCAACUCGACCUCAUGAAGUCGGAGUCGCUAGUAAUCGCAGAUCAGCAACGCUGCGGUGAAUACGUUCCCGGGGCUUGUACACACCGCCCGUCAAGUCAUGAAAGUUGGUAACACCCGAAGCCG
rnacentral:rRNA from 1 species